rnacentral:rRNA from 1 species
GUGGGGAAUAUUGCGCAAUGGGGGAAACCCUGACGCAGCAACGCCGCGUGAGCGAUGAAGGUUUUCGGAUUGUAAAGCUCUGUCUUUGGGGAAGAUAAUGACGGUACCCAAGGAGGAAGCCCCGGCUAACUACGUGCCAGCAGCCGCGGUAAUACGUAGGGGGCAAGCGUUGUCCGGAUUCACUGGGCGUAAAGAGCACGUAGGCGGUUAUUUAAGUCAGGUGUGAAAGUUUUCGGCUCAACCGGAAAAGUGCACUUGAAACUGGAUAACUUGAGAAUCGGAGAGGUAAGCGGAAUUCCUAGUGUAGCGGUGAAAUGCGUAGAGAUUAGGAAGAACACCGGUGGCGAAGGCGGCUUACUGGACGAUUACUGACGCUGAGGUGCGAAAGCGUGGGGAGCAAACAGGA